GCACCGGCACGGCGCGUAGGACCAGGUGAAGGAGGCGGCGGUCUGUGUGCGACCGAGCGUGUCAGGUUGAAGUCACCGAGAAUUGCCUCAAGGGGUUCCAGGAAGCGGCGCAUGAUACUUAGAAAUUGGCAAAUUGAUUCCUUAGGAACACAAAGUCUUCAUUGAACCGUAACCAAACCCCAGCCCCCGAGUCGCUCCUGCGUCGGGCGACUCGGGCGGCGCCCCCGCCGCCUGCUACCUCGGCCGCCCCCAGCUUCUCCGCUCCUCGCCGCCGCCGGUGGUGCGCCGCCGGGCAAAGCCCGUGCGGGGACGGCGGCGGCGGGGCUUCGUUUCGUUGCUCGUCUCUCCUCCGUGGCGCCUGCUGGCCGGAGUCGCCCGAUCUGCUGGUGGCGGCGCCGGCUCCGUGGUGGGACGCCGGAUUCGUGGAGGGCGCUGCCGGAGCCGGUGCGGGUCUUCUUCUGCGGCGGCGCGGCGCAACGUCUCGGCCGGCGGUGCCCGAUUUGCGUGCUCCGUCGGUGGAUGCGCCGGCCUCUUGCAGGCGUGGCCGGAUCUGUUCGUGGAGGCGCUGGAUCCGUGGGUGAGAGUGCCGGAUCUGGCGCGAGGGCGGCUUCCCGUGGUGUUUCGUGCUCCGGCGGCCUCGCGCGUUGGUGGCCGGGUUCUCCGACGUGGGCCCUGGUAUCCUGCAGCCUUGCUGCUGUGGGCUCCGGGUUGGAGCGGCGGCUGGCUCUGGGUAUGGGGGGCGUGCGGCUCCGUUGACGCCCUUUGGUGGUGGUGCGUUGUGGCCCUAGUCUGGCUCCUCGUCUCGUGGCUUGCUGUGACACUUGCGUCUCUAUCUGCGGAGGGAUUGCGGUGGCUGCGGAUGAAAAUCUUGUACCAACAUUUGUCGAUGCCGGCCACGACGGCGUCCGAGGACUCCGCUUCGUUUUUGAAGGCGUCGUUGUGCAGCACCAAUGCAUCCCACCCCUCACGGGCAAGGUGUCUCCAAGCAAAAGCUUAGGUUCAGCUCAUCUGGACCGGGCAACGGCGGCGUCUUUGGACGUCGUUCCCUCCUUGGAGACGUUGUUUUUGGAGCUCUUGCCCGGCGAUGGAUGAUGCUUGGUACAGAAAGUCCGGGUUGAGCCAAGGGUGACGGCUUCGAGCAGUGCGGGCUCGCCGUUGUGCAAGCUACAUCUGUUGGGGCGGCCUCUUCUUGGCUCCGGUCAUCGAAGAAGUUUAGUUCUGCCUACCUCCUCUGGCGUAAGGAUCUGCUCCCUGUUCGGUGUCGUUGGGGCGGGAGGAGGUUUUGCUCUUACCAGUGUGGUUUGUAUGUCGGCUUUGCUCUGUACCUAGCUUUUAGUUAGCUUGGUGUUCGUCAAGGUUUUUGUAUGGCUUUCCUUGAAUAAGACAUACUUUGCAUGGUUUUUAGACUCA